rnacentral:lncRNA from 1 species
GCACCCACGCGGCGCAGCUCCCAAAGUUGCAGACAGCCCGGCGAACCGCGCAAUGCGCUUCUUCUGCCUGCAGCAGAGAAAAGGAAAGAAAACUCCGCAGGGGCUCCGUUGGCUUCUCCACGAGUGACAACCAUGUUUUCCCAGAUAGAAGACCGGAGCCCUGCUCCUUUGCGAUCCGCCGAGGGCUGCAGAGAGCAUCCUCAUCCAUUUGGGCACCCCUGCCCAGGAAGAGCCCGGCCAUCCCUUUCCGGACUGGAUCCUUAAGAGGUGAAUUUUCUUCCGUGGAUUCCGAUUUGCUCCGUCUGACCAGCCUAGGCAAUCCAGCAUCGCGUGGUACCAGUGCCGCUGGGCACACUGGCUUCACGCCGGCUCCGCCUCACCAGCAAGCGCAUUCCCAGGUGGUCAGGCUCAGGAUGGACCAUGAGCUUUCAAAAAGGAAAAAGGGUAAUCUUGGAGGCCACAUUUUGAAGAUGGCAGAAAUACUACAUAGAAAGUCUAGAUCCUUGGGUCACCAUUUGGAAGAGAGCUGCCUGACCAGGAACAUAUGUAAUUGACUCUGCCUACGUGGAAAAUAAAUUUAUACUAUAAUAA